rnacentral:rRNA from 1 species
UUGGUAACGUAGCUAACGCGUGAAGUUGACCGCCUGGGGAGUACGGUCGCAAGAUUAAAACUCAAAGGAAUUGACGGGGACCCGCACAAGCGGUGGAUGAUGUGGAUUAAUUCGAUGCAACGCGAAAAACCUUACCUACCCUUGACAUGUCAGGAAUCCCCUAGAGAUAGGGGGGUGCUUGAGAGAGAACCUGAGCACAGGUGCUGCAUGGCUGUCGUCAGCUCGUGUCGUGAGAUGUUGGGUUAAGUCCCGCAACGAGCGCAACCCUUGUCAUUAGUUGCUACGCAAGAGCACUCUAAUGAGACUGCCGGUGACAAACCGGAGGAAGGUGGGGAUGACGUCAAGUCCUCAUGGCCCUUAUGGGUAGGGCUUCACACGUCAUACAAUGGUGCAUACAGAGGGUUGCCAACCCGCGAGGGGGAGCUAAUCCCGCAAAGUGCAUCGUAGUCCGGAUUGCAGUCUGCAACUCGACUGCAUGAAGUCGGAAUCGCUAGUAAUCGCGGAUCAGCAUGUCGCGGUGAAUACGUUCCCGGGUCUUGUACACACCGCCCGUCACACCAUGGGAGUGGGUUUUACCAGAAGCAGGUAGCCUAACCGUAAGGAGGGCGCCUACCACGGUAGGAUUCAUGACUGGGGUGAAGUCGUAACAAGGUAGCCGUA